AAUUUGUAAAACUUAUUCACUCCUUUGUAUACUCGCGGUAUAAUAAUUUUUUAAUCCAGCCAAAAAUUCAACCGAAAAUAUCUAAUCGACAUUGGUAUUGAUUAGCUAAGGUUUUUUUAGUUGGAUUGUACUAGAAGGAUUUUUUUCCAUAUUCCCGGUUGUUGUUUUUUUUGACAAUAGGGAAAAAAUUACGGUACAUUUGUUUUGGAUGAAAUCU